rnacentral:rRNA from 1 species
UACGGAGGGGGCUAGCGUUGUCCGGAAUUAUUGGGCGUAAAGAGCUCGUAGGCGGUUUGUCGCGUCUGCCGUGAAAGUCCGGGGCUCAACUCCGGAUCUGCGGUGGGUACGGGCAGACUAGAGUGAUGUAGGGGAGACUGGAAUUCCUGGUGUAGCGGUGAAAUGCGCAGAUAUCAGGAGGAACACCGGUGGCGAAGGCGGGUCUCUGGGCAGUAACUGACGCUGAGGAGCGAAAGCGUGGGGAGCGAACAGG